GGCAUAGCUCAGUCUGGUAGAGCGCUACGUUCGGGACGUAGAGGUCGUAGGUUCGAAUCCUGUUGCC
rnacentral:tRNA from 1 species